rnacentral:rRNA from 1 species
UACGUAGGGUCCGAGCGUUGUCCGGAAUUACUGGGCGUAAAGAGCUCGUAGGUGGUUUGUCGCGUUGUUCGUGAAAACUCACAGCUCAACUGUGGGCGUGCGGCGAUACGGGCAGACUGGAGUACUGCAGGGGAGACUGGAAUUCCUGGUGUAGCGGUGGAAUGCGCAGAUAUCAGGAGGAACACCGGUGGCGAAGGCGGGUCUCUGGGCAGUAACUGACCGCUGGAGGAGCGAAAGCGUGGGGAGCGAACAGG